rnacentral:rRNA from 1 species
GACGAACGCUGGCGGCGCGCUUAACACAUGCAAGUCGAGCGAGAACCAGGGCUUCGGCCCUGGGGACAGCGGCGAACGGGUGAGUAACACGUGGGUAAUCUGCCCUCGGCACCGGGAUAGCCCGGGGAAACCCGGAUUAAUACCGGAUGGCCCAUCCGCUCCUCGGAGCGGCUGGAAAAGGUAGCUUCGGCCUCCGGCCGAGGAGGAGCCCGCGGCGGAUUAGCUUGUUGGUGAGGUAACGGCUCACCAAGGCAACGAUCCGUAGCUGGUCUGAGAGGACGAUCAGCCACACUGGGACUGAGACACGGCCCAGACUCCUACGGGAGGCAGCAGUGGGGAAUCUUGCGCAAUGGGCGAAAGCCUGACGCAGCGACGCCGCGUGCGGGAAGAAGGCCUUCGGGUUGUAAACCGCUUUCAGGAGGGACGAAGCCUCUCGGGUUAAUAGCCCAGAGGGUGACGGUACCUCCAGAAGAAGCCCCGGCUAACUACGUGCCAGCCGCCGCCGUAAGAC